UACGGAGGGGGCUAGCGUUGUUCGGAAUUACUGGGCGUAAAGCGCACGUAGGCGGACUGUUAAGUCGGGGGUGAAAUCCUGGGGCUCAACCUCAGAAUUGCCUCCGAUACUGGCAGUCUCGAGUGCGGGAGAGGUGAGUGGAAUUCCCAGUGAUAGAGGUGAAAUUCGUAGAUAUUGGGAAGAACACCAGUGGCGAAGGCGGCUCACUGGCCGUAACUGACGCUGAGGUGCGAAAGGCGUGGGAGCAAACAGG
rnacentral:rRNA from 1 species